rnacentral:rRNA from 1 species
UACGUAGGGUGCAAGCGUUGUCCGGAAUUAUUGGGCGUAAAGAGCUCGUAGGCGGUCUGUCGCGUCUGCUGUGAAAACUCGGGGCUUAACCCCGGGCCUGCAGUGGAUACGGGCAGACUAGAGGCAGGUAGGGGAGAAUGGAAUUCCCGGUGUAGCGGUGAAAUGCGCAGAUAUCAGGAGGAACACCGGUGGCGAAGGCGGGUCUCUGGGCCGUAACUGACGCUGAGGAGCGAAAGCAUGGGGAGCGAACAGG